rnacentral:tRNA from 1 species
AGAGUAAUAGCUAAGAGGUAGAGGGCAUGCCUAGUAUGCAUGAGCUCCUGGGUUCAUUUCCCAGUACCUCCA